CCUACGGGAGGCAGCAGUGGGGAAUAUUGGGCAAUGGAGGCAACUCUGACCCAGCAACGCCGCGUGAGCGAUGAAGGUCUUCGGAUUGUAAAGCUCUGUCGCAGGGGACGAAGUAUGACGGUACCCUGUAAGAAAGCCCCGGCAAACUACGUGCCAGCAGCCGCGGUAAUACGUAGGGGGCUAGCGUUGUCCGGAAUUACUGGGCGUAAAGGGAGUGUAGACGGGACUGCAAGUCAGAUGUGAAAACCACGGGCUCAACCUGUGGCCUGCAUUUGAAACUGUAGUUCUUGAGUACUGGAGAGGCAGACGGAAUUCGUAGUGUAGCGGUGAAAUGCGUAGAUAUUAGGAGGAACACCAGUGGCGAAGGCGGUCUGCUGGACAGCAACUGACGCUGAGGCGCGAAAGCGUGGGGAGCAAACAGGAUUAGAUACCCGGGUAGUC
rnacentral:rRNA from 1 species